rnacentral:rRNA from 1 species
UGGGGAAUAUUGCACAAUGGGGGAAACCCUGAUGCAGCGACGCCGCGUGGGUGACGAAGUAUUUCGGUAUGUAAAGCCCUAUCAGCAGGGAAGAAGCUGACAGUACCUGACUAAGAAGCCCCGGCUAACUACGUGCCAGCAGCCGCGGUAAUACGUAGGGGGCAAGCGUUAUCCGGAUUUACUGGGUGUAAAGGGAGCGUAGGUGGCAUGGCAAGCCAGAAGUGAAAACCCGGGGCUUAACUCCGCGGAUUGCUUUUGGAACUGUCAGGCUGGAGUGCAGGAGGGGCAGGCGGAAUUCCUGGUGUAGCGGUGAAAUGCGUAGAUAUCAGGAGGAACACCGGUGGCGAAGGCGGCCUGCUGGACUGUAACUGACACUGAGGCUCGAAAGCGUGGGGAGCAA